rnacentral:miRNA from 1 species
UCUUCUGUGAAACCAGGGUGCUAGU